UAGAUGGACAACAGACUGGUCUGUAGGUUAGGGGUUGUAGAAUGGACAACAGACUGGUCUGUAGGUUAGGGGCUGUAGAUGGACAACAGACUGUAGGUGUCUGUAGGUUAGGGGCUGUAGAUAGACAACAGACUGGUCUGUAGGUUAGGGGCUGUAGAUGGACAACAGACUGUAGGUGUCUGUAGGUUAGGGGCUGUAGCUGGACAACAGACUGGUCUGUAGGUUAGGGGUUGUAGAUGGACAACAGACUGGUCUGUAGGUUAGGGGCUGUAGAUGGACAACAGACUGUAGGUGUCUGUAGGUUAGGGGCUGUAGAUGGACAACAGACUGGUCUGUAGGUUAGGGGUUGUAGAUGGACAACAGACUGGUCUGUAGGUUAGGGG